rnacentral:lncRNA from 1 species
ACGGACGCGUUCUAAAGAGGACGUCCGCACUUUCGUUAAAGUGCGGAUGGCGCUGCUGCAGCUCGGUUCGGGGUGCGACGGAGCAGCGGAGCUUGCCGGACGGACGCCACGGGUCAGACGGAUGGGUCUGCAGUCGGUGGAGUCGCCGGCGACGUGGUUGCAGCCUUGCCCAUAAACCUGCAGUUGCAGGUGAGCUCGCUGCCCAGAAACCUGCAACUCCGACCUCCUCCGACCUCGAACGCUGCCCAGAACCGUCCGCCAAGCCCCGAGCCGCCGUCGCAGCCUGGAACGCCGCCGCUGCGUCGCCGUCCGCACUUUAGCCAAGUGCGGACGUCCGC